GGAGGAAAAGAACCAACAGGGAUUCCCCUAGUAACGGCGAGUGAAGCGGGAACAGCUCAAAUUUGAAAUCUGGCCCUUGGGUCCGAGUUGUAAUUUGCAGAGGAUGCUUUUGGUGCGGUGCCUUCCGAGUUCCCUGGAACGGGACGCCUUAGAGGGUGAGAGCCCCGUACGGUUGGCCACCAAGCCUGUGUAAAGCUCCUUCGACGAGUCGAGUAGUUUGGGAAUGCUGCUCAAAAUGGGAGGUAUAUUUCUUCUAAAGCUAAAUACUGGCCAGAGACCGAUAGCGCACAAGUAGAGUGAUCGAAAGAUGAAAAGCACUUUGAAAAGAGGGUUAAAUAGCACGUGAAAUUGUUGAAAGGGAAGGAUUUAUGACCAGACUUUUUCUGGGGGGAUCAUCCGGUGUUCUCACCGGUGCACUUCCCCCAGUUGAGGCCAGCAUCGGUUUCUGCCGGGGGAUAAAAGCUUUGGGAAUGUGGCUCCUUCGGGAGUGUUAUAGCCCGUUGCAUAAUACCCUGGCGGGGACCGAGGUUCGCGCAUUGCAAGGAUGCUGGCGUAAUGGUUAUUAAUCACCCGUCUUGAAACACGGACCAAGGAGUCGAACAUUUGUGCGAGUGUUUGGGUGUUAAACCCUCACGCGUAAUGAAAGUGAACGGAGGUGAGAGCCUUUAGGGGUGCAUCAUCGACCGAUCCUGAUGUCUUCGGAUGGAUUUGAGUAAGAGCAUAACUGUUCGGACCCGAAAGAUGGUGAACUAUGCGUGGAUAGGGUGAAGCCAGAGGAAACUCUGGUGGAGGCUCGCAGCGGUUCUGACGUGCAAAUCGAUCGUCAAAUCUGCGCAUGGGGGCGAAAGACUAAUCGAACCAUCAGUA
rnacentral:rRNA from 1 species